rnacentral:sRNA from 12 species
CGGCGGCCGCAGGCCGGAUAUACUGCGGUGUGCGGCCCAUGGCCGCAGGAAAGG